GGAAGAAAUCUAACCCUGUAAAUAACUGUCCUGGAUUCUUUCCAUCCUGUUAAAACCAAACACUUGCAGGUGUCUGUAACCCUCGAGACCUUUCAGGAUCUGUCCUUGCCGAUUCCUGGCAAGGAAGACCUGGCUAAGCUGCACUCCUCCAGUCACCCAACUAUAGUCAAAGCAGGGUCGUGUGGCGAAGCCUACGCUCCACAGGGGUGGAUAGCUUUCUUCAUGGAGUACGUGAAGAGGUUUGUUGUCUCAUGUGUCCCUAGCUGGUUUUGGGGUCCAGUAGUAACCUUGCAAGAUUGUCUUGCUGCCUUCUUCGCCAGAGAUGAACUUAAAGGUAAGAAAUACGAUCGCAUUUAUGACUGACUUUGGUAGGUGAACCAAUGCUUCAUUUCGGACAGUUAAAUAGUAUUUGUUCAUAUUUGCAUGGUGGAGGAAUCUUCAGUGGCAGUUGAAAUAUGAUUAGAAAAGUCCUGCCCUGAAGGAAUUUAUAUAGAUUUCUAUAAUACAAAACAAGACAUCUUCACGUUCUGUGAUUCUGAGAAGGUGGAUUCUGUGAAGAUGAUGGGUGCAGAUGCGCCUUGAACUGUUCACAGCUGCACCUGCAGUGACGGUCCUAUGCAGCUGCGCUUGCCUACUCUGUGGCUUCUGCCUUCUACUCUUCUCUACCGUUUUUCUUCCCUUUCAAACCAGCCCUAACACUAGAGAAGAGAGAAAACAGAGUAGAGAGGAAAGGAAAGAGAUCCCUGAAUAAGGUCCGGGGUCAGAAAGGGGGUGGGCUGUUACUUCUGCUUCCUGCUGAUUAGGAUGUUCAGUUCCUUGGAACAAGUGUGAUCUUUGCUGUCAGGACAUCUAAUUUCUUUUUCUCAUUUCUUCUUUGCAUGACCAACAGUAAUGAACAACCAAACAACUUACCAACAGACCUCCCACCUCUAGGGGCCUAGCGAUUUUAUAUCCUCUGAAAAGUCUCGGGAUUCCAAAUGUUACACACUUGCAGAAAUACGUGCAGCUGACAGUCAUGCCCCCUCCAGAGCAAGAGGCCACUUACAGUCAGCUGCUGUGGACGGUCUGAAA
rnacentral:lncRNA from 1 species